rnacentral:rRNA from 1 species
AUUGAACGCUGGCGGCAGGCCUCACACCUGCAAGUCGAGCGAGCGGCGGACGGGUGAGUAAUGUAUGGGGCCUGCCCGAUAGAGGGGGCUAACUACUGGAAACGUUAGCUAAUACCGCAUACUAUCGGAUAACCCAUAUGGGAUUGGCUAGUCGGUGGGGUAAUUGCUCACCUAGGCGACGAUCCCUAGCGGGUCUGAGAGGAUGAUCAGACACACUGGGACUAAGACACGGACCAGACUCCUACGGAGGCAGCAGGGGGGAAGAUUGCACAAUGGGCGCAAGCCUGAUGAAGCCAGGCCGCGGGUAUGAAGAAGGCCCGAGGGUGGUAAAGUAAGGUCAGUCGGGAGGCGUUACCGACAGAAGAAGCACCGGCUGACUACGUGUCAGCAGCCGCGGUAAUUC